rnacentral:rRNA from 1 species
AUUGAACGCUGGCGGCAGGCCUAACACAUGCAAGUCGAACGAGUGGCGGACGGGUGAGUAAUGUCUGGGAAACUGCCUGAUUUAGGGGGAUAACUACUGGAAACGGUAGCUAAUACCGCAUACCAUCAUAUGUUCCCAGAUGGGAUUAGCUUGUUGGUGGGGUAACGGCUCACCAAGGCGACGAUCCCUAGCUGGUCUGAGAGGAUGACCAGCGACACUGGACAGGAGACAGGGGCCAGACUCAUACGGGAGGCAGCAGUGGGGAAUAUUGCACAAUGGGCGCAAGCCUGAUGCAGCCAUGACGCGUGUAUGAAGAAGGCCUUCGGGUUGUAAAGUACUUUCAGCGGGGAGGAGUUACCCGCAGAAGAAGCACCGGCUAACUCCGUGCCAGCAGCCGCGGUAAUUC